GCCUGGCUGGUUCAGUGGGAGGAAUGUGAUAUUCUUGAUGUUGUGGUCAUGGGUUCAAGCCCCACGUUGGGCA
rnacentral:tRNA from 1 species